rnacentral:rRNA from 1 species
UACGGAGGAUCCAAGCGUUAUCCGGAAUUACUGGGCGUAAAGAGAUGCGUAGGUGGUUUGUUAAGUAGGAUGUGAAAUCACGGGGCUCAACCCCGUGGCUGUUUCCUAAACUGGCAGACUUGAGAACAUGAGAGGUCACUGGAAUUCCUAGUGUAGGAGUGAAAUCCGUAGAUAUUAGGAGGAACACCAAUGGCGAAGGCAGGUGACUGGCAUGUUUCUGACACUGAGGCUCGAAAGCGUGGGGAGCGAACGGG